GACCGAGGAUAGUCUGCCAUAAAAGUCUUUAAAUCUGAUGAGAAAUUAAUUUUGCGCUGCUGCAGCUCCUCCAACCCCCUUGACGACCGUGGAAACGAAGGUUUGCGACACUCGGAGCGCCGUGACUGUUUUCAUCAAAAGAACACUUGCCUCCUUUGGAGACUCGCCCUUGCGUGGGAAGAUUUGCGGCAGGAAACGACCGCAACACAAUCUGCUUAUCUUGCAGAGUGUUUACUGCCAGAGGAUUUCUCCUUGGGCAUCAGGCACAGAUGUGCGCCCAAGUACAGCAUAUGGGGCUUGAUUCCUGUAUACGUCCAAGCUAAUGUGAAAGGUGGGACCUUAGGACCUGGGAGCCUCAGCAUAGAGCGGGAGGCUUAAACUCAAGGAGAGCCUCUCCAUAUGAAGGAGAUCCCGUGAGAGUUGAG
ensembl:lncRNA